rnacentral:ncRNA from 1 species
UUACAUGAGAGUUUGAUCCUGGCUCAGGACGAACGCUGGCGGCGUGCCUAAUACAUGCAAGUCGAACGGUCUUUUCUAUGGAAGCUUGCUUCC